rnacentral:rRNA from 1 species
UAAGCGGAGGAAAAGAAACUAACAAGGAUUCCCCUAGUAACUGCGAGUGAAGCGGGAAAAGCUCAAAUUUAAAAUCUGGUGGUCUUUGGCCAUCCGAGUUGUAAUUUAGAGAAGCGUCUUCCGCGCUGGACCGUGCACAAGUCUCCUGGAAUGGAGCGUCACAGAGGGUGAGAAUCCCGUCUUUGGCAUGGACAUACCAGGGCUUUUGUGAUGCGCUCUCGAAGAGUCGAGUUGUUUGGGAAUGCAGCUCAAAAUGGGUGGUGAACUCCAUCUAAAGCUAAAUAUUGGCGAGAGACCGAUAGCGAACAAGUACCGUGAGGGAAAGAUGAAAAGCACUUUGGAAAGAGAGUGAAACAGUACGUGAAAUUGUUGAAAGGGAAACGCUUGAAGUCAGUCGCGUCGACCGAGACUCAGCCUCGCCUUCG